rnacentral:pre_miRNA from 1 species
CUCCCUGGGCUUAAGCCUAAGCGUGUUGAAGUCAAUGGGAGUCUUUCCAUUGACUUCAGUGGGCUUUGGAUCAGGCCCAGUCUAAAG